CCUACGGGAGGCAGCAGUGAGGAAUAUUGGUCAAUGGGCGCGAGCCUGAACCAGCCAAGUAGCGUGAAGGAUGACUGCCCUACGGGUUGUAAACUUCUUUUAUAAAGGAAUAAACUGAGGCACGUGUGCCUUUUUGUAUGUUCUUUAUGAAUAAAGAUCGGCUAACUCCGUUCCAGCAGCCGCGGUAAUACGGAGGAUCCGAGCGUUUUCCGGAUUUAUUGGGUUUAAAGGGAGCGUAGAUGGGUUGUUAAGUCAGUUGUGAAAGUUUGCGGCUCAACCGUAAAAUUGCAAUUGAUACUGGCGGUCUUGAGUACAGUUGAGGUAGGCGGAAUGCGUGGUGUAGCGGUGAAAUGCUUAGAUAUCACGAAGAACCCCGAUUGCGAAGGCAGCUUACUAACCUGUGACUGACAUUGAGGCACGAAAGUGUGGGUAUCAAACAGGAUUAGAUACCCGUGUAGUC
rnacentral:rRNA from 1 species